rnacentral:rRNA from 1 species
UACGUAGGGUGCAAGCGUUGUCCGGAAUUAUUGGGCGUAAAGAGCUUGUAGGCGGUUUGUCGCGUCUGCUGUAAAAUUUCGGGGCUCAACCCCGAACUUGCAGUGGGUACGGGCAGACUAGAGUGUGGUAGGGGAGACUGGAAUUCCUGGUGUAGCGGUGAAAUGCGCAGAUAUCAGGAGGAACACCGAUGGCGAAGGCAGGUCUCUGGGCCAUAACUGACGCUGAGAAGCGAAAGCAUGGGGAGCGAACAGG